GCUUCCCACCUGAUCCAGGCAUUCCUACCUCGUGUCCUGCCUUCUGCAUGAAUCACUCCCCACCUCCAGCCCCCAUACCUGUUGCCACGUCUACCUCCAAUGCCGGGAUUGUUUACUUUUCUCCCAGCGUGCAGAUCCAUCAUGCGUUGGCUGGAGAUUGUGAUCCAUGUUACUCUCACUUGGAUUCCAGACCAGGAGGGCAACACUAUCUGGAAACUCACCAGUUUCUGUAGCAGAGGAAAGCCAGACAUGAAGGUACUUUUCCGUGGUUUGCCUAUUUCAUUAAAGGCAAGGCUAUAAGAAAUUGACCCGAGUGCUGGGAUAAGAAAGACUUCACUGGAGAUUCAACAUGAGAAGAGAAUCCUGAUGGGGUACGUGGAAUCUACAUUGCUGAAGAAAUUUAUCGCAUAGACUAUAAGCUAUCUAUCUUGGAUGUUGCACAUUCAAAGAGGUUGAGGCUGCUGACUCCAAAUAUGACAUGCUGAGCAAUGAUAACGGAUGACUUUCCCUGGCCUAAGUGGAAUGGAAAGGGUUUGGAAGGCAGCUAGGCUCACCACUGUACCACCAACGCAUGGAAAGGGGUUGGAAACCAGGAAAAAGUCGGGUGGGAGGAGGGGACAAGAAAAAGAGGAGGAAAAUAAUGAAGGACUGAAAAGGCAUCAUGGUUUCUGAAAAAGUAUCAGAGGCAGGGCUACCAC
rnacentral:lncRNA from 1 species